rnacentral:rRNA from 1 species
CCUACGGGUGGCAGCAGUGAGGAAUAUUGGUCAAUGGGCGCGAGCCUGAACCAGCCAAGUAGCGUGAAGGAUGACUGCCCUACGGGUUGUAAACUUCUUUUAUCAAGGAAUAAAGUGCGGCACGUGCGCCUUUUUGUAUGUACUUUAUGAAUAAGGACCGGCUAACUCCGUGCCAGCAGCCGCGGUAAUCCGGAGGGUCCGAGCGUUAUCCGGAUUUAUUGGGUUUAAAGGGGGCGUAGAUGGGUUGUUAGGUCAGUUGUGAAAGUUGUCGGCUCAACCGUAAAAUUGCAAUUGAUACUGGCAGCCUUGAGUACAGUUGAGGUAGGCGGAAUUCGUGGUGUAGCGGUGAAAUGCUUAGAUAUCACGAAGAACUCCGAUUGCGAAGGCAGCUUACUAAACUGCAACUGACAUUGAUGCACGAAAGUGUGGGUAUCAAACAGGAUUAGAUACCCCUGUAGUC